UGGGGAAUAUUGGACAAUGGGCGCAAGCCUGAUCCAGCCAUGCCGCGUGAGUGAUGAAGGCCCUAGGGUUGUAAAGCUCUUUCACCGGUGAAGAUAAUGACGGUAACCGGAGAAGAAGCCCCGGCUAACUUCGUGCCAGCAGCCGCGGUAAUACGAAGGGGGCUAGCGUUGUUCGGAUUUACUGGGCGUAAAGCGCACGUAGGCGGACUUUUAAGUCAGGGGUGAAAUCCCGGGGCUCAACCCCGGAACUGCCUUUGAUACUGGAAGUCUUGAGUAUGGUAGAGGUGGGUGGAAUUCCGAGUGUAGGAGUGAAAUUCGUAGAUAUUCGGAGGAACACCAGUGGCGAAGGCGGCUCACUGGACCAUUACUGACGCUGGGGUGCGAAGGCGUGGGGGGCAAACAGG
rnacentral:rRNA from 1 species